rnacentral:rRNA from 1 species
UACGAAGGGGGCUAGCGUUGCUCGGAAUCACUGGGCGUAAAGCGCACGUAGGCGGAUUGUUAAGUCAGGGGUGAAAUCCUGGAGCUCAACUCCAGAACUGCCUUUGAUACUGGCGAUCUCGAGUCCGUGAGAGGUGAGUGGAACUGCGAGUGUAGAGGUGAAAUUCGUAGAUAUUCGCAAGAACACCAGUGGCGAAGGCGGCUCACUGGCCCGGUACUGACGCUGAGGUGCGAAAGCGUGGGGAGCAAACAGG